GAUGAACGCUGGCGGCGUGCCUCAUACAUGCAAGUCGCGCGAAGCGGGGACGGGUGAGUAACACGUGGAUAACCUCCUAUAAGACUGGGAUAACUUCGGGAACCCGGAGCUACACCGGUUACUUCUAGAUGGAUCCGCGCUGCAUUAGCUAGUUGGUAAGGUAACGGCUUACCAAGGCAACGAUGCAUAGCCUACCUGAGAGGGUGAUCGGCAACCCGGGAACUGAGACACGGGCCAGCCUCCUACGGGAGGCAGCAGUAGGGAAUGUUCCGCAAUGGGCGAAAGCCUGACGGAGCAACGCCGCGUGAGUGAUGAAGGUCUUCGGAUCGUAAAACUCUGUUAUUAGGGAAGCGGUACCUAAUCAGAAAGCCACGGCUAACUACGUGCCAGCCGCCGCGGUAAUAC
rnacentral:rRNA from 1 species